CACCCCUGGAUCUUGCAGUUUUUAGCUGAUUCUCAAGCUCUGAGAUCUCAAGUGCCCAACCUGUUUCUUCAUCAAGAUAAUAUGAAAUAUGAGUGCCACCAUGGAGGGUAAUUGAAGCAGAAUAAAGAGGAUACUGGGGGAUGGGACAGAGGAUUCCAUCAUUCUCUGACCCGAUGAGCAACUGCAUCAUCAUGUGAACUGCUGGGCUUGCACCAUCAGUCAAGAAAAUAUCAUUUGGAUCGGCAGGGAAGCCAUCACGAGCUUCGAUACCAGAAGCAAUUGUAUCACGUAAUCCUUUGAUACCCUG
rnacentral:misc_RNA from 1 species